rnacentral:misc_RNA from 1 species
GAACGCACAUUGCGCUCUCUGGUAUUCCGGAGAGCAUGCCUGUUUGAGAAUCGAUAAACCCCUCACAUGUCCCUUUCUUUGGAACAUUCAAAGUAAGGUGUACCCCUGUGGAUCUGGAUCGUUUGAGGACCUCUCGGUCUUCAAUGAUCUUAAAUCAAAUGUCUACAGCUCUUGUUGUCCUCAGCAUAGCCCAAAGUGCAUGAAUGGAGUUUGCAAAAACUUGAUCCUCACGAUGGUGUUUUGUUGUCCGUGGCAGCUGAGAAUUGUUUGACUCAACCAUUACAUUGGGGAGGGCAUCCCUGUGGUGCCCUUCUCAAAAACUUGGUCUCAAAUCAGGUAGGAAAACCCGCUGAACUUA